AGGAAUACGUGGCCAGUGGAUAGGCAAAGUCAAUGGACAGGGGAAGAAACGUGGUCAGCUAUGGGUCCCUAGCAAGCAUUCCAAACUCGAACCGGCGUGUUUUGAGAAACACUGAGCGGAAAGCAUUGGAUACAGAGGUCGAGGCUGAAGCCAGCUGCGGUGCCAACUAUUUUUUUUUCGUCUGGCCAUCGGGACCGCAACCACUAGCAAAAGAACUAAAUCUCGCAGCCGCCACAGUGCAUCAGCGAAGCGGCACAGACAAGAGGACGCGGUGGGAAGUGGGUCAGCAGAGAGCGACGUCAGCUGUUUGCCGAUAUCUGCACUGGGAGGACAAGGCAUAUAGAGCAGUUGGGGGAAGAGAUGCCGAGAGAAAGGGAGAGCGUGCAGCUGGAAGAGGCAGAAAUGAGCACAGGCAUGAAAUUGGCACUGUACCCUCCACCACCCACAGCCCCCGUUCUCAUCACAACACCCCCACCCGCCCCCCCAACCGCCCCUUUCUUAUCCCCUCCGCUCGGU